CUGAGUGGGGGGCUAGGGGACAAGACAAAUUAUCUCCUUGCCAAGAAUUGGGUAUUUUUUUGGUAAAAUGUGGGACACAGGAAGAAAAUCAUCUUCACCUUUGCUGUGUUCUUCAAAGGCUGCUAGGACAAUCCGUGGAAAGGCUAAAGUGAUGUCUGCAUAAACAGACCUCAUAGCCGCAGUGAUGAUGUGUUUAAUUAAUAAGUCCAACAUCGCAGCCGGGGCUAAAAUCCACAUCCUGUCUCUUGGCCUUGUAAUAAAUGUGCUUCUUUUGUAUGGUGGAACUUCAUUUUAUCCCUUGGAAAAAGGAUGAGAAAAAAGCCUAUACCCAGAUAAGCAGGGAUUAAUACCAGACAAAUGAUCAAGCAGAAAACAAUAUCCUAUUCUAGAAAAUACCGAGGAAAAAACUAUACCCUGACCAACAAUUAUAGGGCAAGAUACUAUAUAUAAACAGAGAGUAAACUGCACAUUUCCUAACACUGAUGAUAUUAUCUAGUCAGGUAAUGCAAACAACCAAGCUCAGGGAGCAUCAAGAACUCCAUGCUGCAGCUCAGCCUGUGCAUUCUAGGUGUUGUAGUCCUUCCUGUCUGGAGGGCCCUGGUUAUUGGAAAACUGAACCUCUGCAACUAUGGUUUCCUUUUUAGAGAUUCAGCUAUGAUUGCUCAGUAAUAGAAUUAUUAUAUCCACCUCAAAGAGACAUAUAUUCUCCACAACUGACAGAAUGUUCUUUUUGUAAUUAAUUGUUCAGGUUUAUACAUAAAAUAGGUAAUUUCCUCCUUCGCCACUGCCAGGAACUAAUUGUAACACUUGUGAAAGCAUUGCUUUUUAAAUUAAUGCAUUUCCAUUUUAUCCUUAGCUUCUCUAAAUUAUUGGAAAUCUUUAUUCUUUGCCCUCCUCUGCUCUGUUCCAAUUUCCUUGCAUCCGACUUUCCCUCCUCAAAACAAAUUAGAGAGGCAGAAUUUAACAAAUAGUUAAAAAAAAGGCUUAAGUGAUAAAGAAUAGACCACAACUGAAAUUUAAGCCUCAAAUAUUUUCAGAGACAAAUUUUAUCGAUCCCAAAAUGCUUUCCUUGAAAGAAAGUUGCCAGCAUGUAACAUUUAAAUCUCCCAACCUCAGCAAGAAUGUGCAUUUUUUCCCCAGUUAAUUCAGACCUUAAAUAAUCCUGGACAAUCCUAAUUAAGACUAAUUAGCUAAAUGAGAAAUACUGACAGAUCCCAGCAAUUAAGUUGGUCUGCCAACAUGGGAAGAAAAAAAAAAGAGAUUAGGAUUACUCACUGAUGUUUUUUUUUUUCUCCUCCACUGUUUAUUUAGGAGAUAUUUAAUUUGGUUUAAUAAAGUCCAGCAGAACCUUGUAAGAGUAAAGUAGGGAUUUAUUCGCAGUGGCUCAUAAACACAAAGAGGAAAACUGCCAAACUGGGGACUCCCAUUUUUGAUAGAACAGAAAUGGCAUAUUUCAUAUGAAAUAAAAUUGAGUCACAGCAAACCUUGCAGCUUGCUUGUUACAAAUACGUUGAUUAGGGGGUGAGAUGUUAGAUUGGUUUCCCACAAUAAAGUGAUCUUAUUUAGACAUAGGGAACAUACUUCUGUCAUCAUUCCACCCUCCAAGUGUUUGUUUUUUUAAAAAAUCUUGCAAGGAAUUUGCAUUCCACAAAAUAAAUUGUGAGCAUUCAAAUGCAUUUGCAAAUAGCAAUUUGAUUGUACGGGCAGGACUCCUGCAGCAGGUUCUUAAAGUCCACAAGAAUCAGCUCUUAAUUUUAAGCCCCAGAUUUUUCUCUCUUUAAACAACCUCUUGGGAGAAGGAAAACACUUUUCCAUUUUUUUUUCUUUUUUUGCAAAUUCACAUGGUACAAUAGAGCCAUCUUCUUAAAACCAAGAAUUCAGCAUCACCAUUUCUGAUUACCGGUUGCCACCUUAGAGAGUUCGAAGGAAGAAAAGCAAUUUUAGAGGAAAUAUCAGUCGAAAGGGACAGCCACACAAUACUUGAAUUAUCCUCAGAGAGUGGUAAAAAUUAACAGGACAAAAUAACAGCUUUUGCCAGAACUUUAACCCAUAUACGUUUGAAAACCAGUUUUAGGCCAAGUCAAGAACAAAUCACAUUUCCAAACCAUUUCCUUCUUGGUUUUAAAAGUUGUAUCAUCUCAGUCCUUUUUUGCACUGAACUUCAGGCCAGUCCUGCAAUAAAAUAUCGUCCAAUACAGAGGGCGAACUGGAGAUCAGAAUCAGCUUGCUCAUACUAAGACAUCAGAGGAUGUAAUGAUAUACAGGAAAGACCUGAAGAGACUGGACCAAGAGACACCACCUAAGAAACGGUCUGAUAAGAGAUUACAUAGCCCUCAGCUGUAUAAUGGAAGGAACAAGAGGCCCCAAAAGAACCUUCCCUAGAUUCUUGGGUUGUAUAGGAGGGAUGUGGGGGCGGGGGGAGAACUGUAAUUUCAGACUUGCGGGAUUCUGCUAAUGUAGCUUUACAAUAAAGCAGAUUGAAAUUAUCUGGCUAGGUUUCCUGUCUGAUCUGCUUAGUAAGACUGAUAGAGGGAGUCCCAAAAAUUAGACUUAAACCAAGUGGUGAGCUGGAUUCAGCUGGAUAUCUGCACCAACCAUAGUCUAAUGUCAGAUGAACCGUCCAAUAUGCCUCCAAUCCUCCAAGCUGCUGAGACCAUGAUGGGCUCCGAACCAAAAGAUAAUGAGAGCCAUAAAAGGGAAAAUUAAGCGAAUGCUUAAAUUCCACCCCUUGCUAAGGUAGCAGCAUCAUGGCCGUAUUAGCACACUUGCAAAGAAAGCAGAAGGUAUUUUUUGGAUUUAUAUUUUAGAGAAAGUUGUAAAUGAUGUUGUUAAAAGUAAAGAAUAUAAAACAGAUUUAUUUGAUUAAAGCUAAAAUAUAUAUGUUGCUAUUUCUGGUAACUCUUAAUGGGCUUGGAUUUAAUGAUGGGAGGUUUUAAUAAUUUGUUUAUUGACGAGAUACGUAAAGAAGAGGUCC